AAUAUUGCACAAUGGGCGAAAGCCUGAUGCAGCAACGCCGCGUGAGUGCUGAAGGCCUUCGGGUUGUAAAGCUCUGUCUUCUGGGACGAUAAUGACGGUACCAGAGUAGGAAGCCACGGCUAACUACGUGCCAGCAGCCGCGGUAAUACGUAGGUGGCAAGCGUUGUCCGGAUUUACUGGGCGUAAAGGAUGCGUAGGCGGAUACUUAAGUCAGAUGUGAAAAUCCCGGGCUUAACUUGGGAACUGCAUUUGAAACUGGGUAUCUAGAGUGCGGGAGAGGAAAGUGGAAUUCCGAGUAUAGCGGUGAAAUGCGUAGAGAUUAGGAAGAACACCAGUGGCGAAGGCGACUAUCUGGACCGUAACUGACGCUGAGGCAUGAAAGCGUGGGGAGCAAACA
rnacentral:rRNA from 1 species